rnacentral:misc_RNA from 1 species
UUUGUAUGAAAGUCCUAUGUUUUUGAAGUAAGAGACUUGAAAUUUCAAAUGUAAGCUCUAUAGAUGGUGAAAAGGUGUCCAAAUAAUGUAUCUUUAGAAAAUAAAUCCAUUUUGGGGUUACAAAGGGGGAUGGUAGGUUGACUUAGUCAUCACGAAAUCUCCGAAACUAUAACACCUACAAGCUUGAAAUUUGGCAGGUAGGCUCCUUAUAAG